ACCCUACGGGACGCAGCAGUGGGGAAUAUUGGGCAAUGGGCGCAAGCCUGACCCAGCAACGCCGCGUGAAGGAAGAAGGCUUUCGGGUUGUAAACUUCUUUUCUCAGGGACGAUAAUGACGGUACCUGAGGAGGAAGCCACGGCUAACUACGUGCCAGCAGCCGCGGUAAUACGUAGGUGGCGAGCGUUGUCCGGAUUUACUGGGCGUAAAGGGAGCGUAGGCGGAUUUUUAAGUCAGCGGUCAAAUCGUGGGGCUCAACCCCAUCCAGCCGUUGAAACUGGGGAUCUAGAGUGUGCGAGAGGUA
rnacentral:rRNA from 1 species